GAUGAACGCAGACAGAAUGUUUAACACAUGCAAGUCAACUUGAAUUUGGGUUUUUAACUUAGAUUUGGGUGGCGGACGGGUGAGUAACGCGUAAAGAACUUGCCUCACAGCUAGGGACAACAUUUAGAAAUGAAUGCUAAUACCUGAUAUUAUGAUUUUAGGGCAUCCUAGGAUUAUGAAAGCUAUAUGCACUGUGAGAGAGCUUUGCGUCCCAUUAGCUAGUUGGAGAGGUAACGGCUCACCAAGGUGAUGAUGGGUAGCCGGCCUGAGAGGGUGAUCGGCCACAAGGGGACUGAGACACGGCCCUUACUCCUACGGGAGGCAGCAGUGGGGAAUAUUGGACAAUGGACCAAGAGUCUGAUCCAGCAAUUCUGUGUGCACGAUGAAGUUUUUCGGAAUGUAAAGUGCUUUCAGUUGGGAAGAAAAAAAUGACGGUACCAACAGAAGAAGUGACGGCUAAAUACGUGCCAGCAGCCGCGGUAAUACGUAUGUCACAAGCGUUAUCCGGAUUUAUUGGGCGUAAAGCGCGUCUAGGUGGUUAUGUAAGUCUGAUGUGAAAAUGCAGGGCUCAACUCUGUAUUGCGUUGGAAACUGUGUAACUAGAGUACUGGAGAGGUAAGCGGAACUACAAGUGUAGAGGUGAAAUUCGUAGAUAUUUGUAGGAAUGCCGAUGGGGAAGCCAGCUUACUGGACAGAUACUGACGCUGAAGCGCGAAAGCGUGGGUAGCAAACAGG
rnacentral:rRNA from 1 species